rnacentral:rRNA from 1 species
GAUGAACGCUGGCGGCGUGCCUAAUACAUGCAAGUCGAGCGAAUGGAUUAAGAGCUUGCUCUUAUGAAGUUAGCGGCGGACGGGUGAGUAACACGUGGGUAACCUGCCCAUAAGACUGGGAUAACUCCGGGAAACCGGGGCUAAUACCGGAUAAUAUUUUGAACUGCAUGGUUCAAAAUUGAAAGGCGGCUUCGGCCGUCACUUAUGGAUGGACCCGCGUCGCAUUAGCUAGUUGGUGAGGUAACGGCUCACCAAGGCAACGAUGCGUAGCCGGCCUGGGAGGGUGCUCGGCCACACUGGGACUGAGACACGGCCCAGACUCCUACGGGAGGCAGCAGUAGGGAAUCUUCCGCAAUGGACGAAAGUCUGACGGAGCAACGCCGCGUGAGUGAUGAAGGCUUUCGGGUCGUAAAACUCUGUUGUUAGGGAAGAACAAGUGCUAGUUGAAUAAGCUGGCACCUUGACGGUACCUAACCAGAAAGCCACGGCUAACUACGUGCCAGCCGCCGCGGUAA